CAUCUAGGAUGGCCUUGAGGCAUCCAGACUCUGAAGACUUCCAACAGGGUAAACACUAAGAUCAUGUCCUCUGAAGUGUCAUGGCUGCCACCAGGUAGGCCCGAAUAUGCUUGUUUCUUCGGCUAGCAUGAAGCAUGAAGCGGUCAGUCUGACUUUCAAGUUACUUCUUUUUACAACGAAGCAGCAUGAAUUUACACGUUUGAGAGAAGAAUGAACUACACCAGCAUGUGUGACCUAUAGGAAGGCAGAGGAAAAGGCAAGAUGCAGCGCCAUAAAAAUAAACUAAACCCGUGGAUGUCCUUGAGUUUGUCCAUUUGGUGAUUCUCCUCAGGACCGGAUGCCGGAACAAGAAAGUAUUAGUGACUUCUGUCGGGUGGCCUUCUCUUCACCCGUUAACCUCACCAGGCAGAAUGACAGCGAAAUCUCAUUUACCCCACCAUCUGCUCAGCUGGGAACACUAGUGAGAGGCUGAGUGUGGCUAGUCAGAAGGUUCCCCACAUUAUGGUAAAUGAGGAGGCAGUCAAGAGGGAAGCAACAGGCAGCGAAGCAAAUGGCAGCGAUUAACUGCAGAACACAAAGGGAACCCCUAGUGGGCUAAUCGAGUCAAUGCACUCUCCCGACUGCUAUUUAAUAAAUCCUAAUUAAAUCAGAUGCUACUAAUUUGAAACUCUUGUUUAUUUGGACUGGACCUCGCUAA
rnacentral:sRNA from 1 species